ACCCCCAUAUCUGUCUCUGUCUUUGUCUCAGUCUCUUUCUCUCUGUCUCUCUCUUCAAUCCUUAUACCUCCUGUGGGGAGGUGGAGCCAAUGCUUUCUCCAAUGAGGAUCUUACCUGUGAUCAGAUGCCUGCAGCUCCGCACGGCCGUAGUACUUAAGAGUACCUGGAGACCAGCAGGAAAAGAGAAGCAGAGCACUCCAUCAGCCAGUGUGUGCAGGGAACGCAGCCAGAAGGAACCAAAUGGCCAGAGCCAAGGGCUGCUGGCCCAGGAACAAGCUGACUCCAGGGGUGCUUGGAGCCCCAAAUCUGACAAGGUACCUGGUCCAGGGACACCCUACUCUCCAUGCCUGGCCCCUUACCUGGCAUUGACAAUAUUUCCCGCACUCAGUUCCACCAUUUCCUCAAACCCGAUGGCAAAUACAUCAGAAGGACUACCAUCAUCUAGGGAACAAGGUGGGAGAUAAGGAAAUCAGAACUGCUAGAUCUUAGGCUGCUUGUCCACAGGGUUCUUUCCCCUCUCCCUGACCACACCUUCUCAUUGCUAGAACCCAUUCCACUGGAGCCUGCCCUCACAUCCUCCUGUGCUUAUUGUCCAUGGCACCUCUGUUCUUCCCUGUAUUCAGCCUGGAGCAGCUUAUGAACCUCCCUGAACCUCCAACUCUUUCUCUACAAAGAGACAGCAAUCUGCCUUAUCACCAGGUAAUACGGAAUUCAAGUUGGAUAUCAGGAGUAAAACACUUGACUCAA